CACGUAGGUGGCAUGGUAAGUCAAAAGGUGAAAGCCCUCGGCUCAACCGAGGAAUUGCCUUUGAAACUGCUUUGCUUGAGUCCGGGAGGGGGGGAGCGGAAUUCCUAGUGUAGCGGUGAAAUGCGUAGAUACUAGGAGGAACACCGGUGGCGAAGGCGGCUCCCUGGACCGGUACUGACACUGAGGUGCGAAAGCGUGGGUAGCAAACA
rnacentral:rRNA from 1 species